GUAGGGUGCGAGCGUUAAUCGGAAUUACUGGGCGUAAAGCGUGCGCAGGCGGUUAUAUAAGACAGUUGUGAAAUCCCCGGGCUCAACCUGGGAAUUGCAUCUGUGACUGUAUAGCUAGAGUACGGUAGAGGGGGAUGGAAUUCCGCGUGUAGCAGUGAAAUGCGUAGAUAUGCGGAGGAACACCGAUGGCGAAGGCAAUCCCCUGGACCUGUACUGACGCUCAUGCACGAAAGCGUGGGGAGCAAACAGGAUUAGAUACCCUGGUAGUCCACGCCCUAAACGAUGUCAACUGGUUGUUGGGUGCAUUAGUACUCAGUAACGAAGCUAACGCGUGAAGUUGACCGCCUGGGGAGUACGGCCGCAAGGUUG
rnacentral:rRNA from 2 species